UUUCCGUAGGUGAACCUGCGGAAGGAUCAUUAAAGUUAUAGUCCCCCGGCCCCUCCGGGCUGGGGUCUUCUAUACCACCCUUUGUUUAUUACACCUUUGUUGCUUUGGCAGGCCUGCCCUCGGGCUGCUGGCUCCGGCCGGCUCGUGCCUGCCAGAGGACCUAAACUCUGUUUGUAUAUGAAGUCUGAGUAAUAUAUAAUAGUUAAAACUUUCAACAACGGAUCUCUUGGUUCUG
rnacentral:misc_RNA from 1 species